CUCUCUCUUUCUCUCUCUUCUCUCUCUUCUCUUCUCUCUUUCUCUCCUCUUCUUUAAUAAGAUCCAUAAGAACGGAUUGAUGUUCCCCUCUCAUUAUCACUCUCAGAAAGCAUAAUCUCAUCAUCCUUAUUCUUAUACCACAAAUAAUAAGCCAGAACCAAACCACUCAAAAGAACAAUAAAAACACCCAAAACAAUAGCAG
rnacentral:ribozyme from 13 species